UACGGAGGGUGCGAGCGUUAAUCGGAAUGACUGGGCGUAAAGGGUGCGUAGGCGGUUGGCUAAGUUAUCUGUGAAAGCCCUGGGCUUAACCUGGGAUUGUCAGAUAAGACUGGUUGACUUGAGUAUGGGAGAGGGCAGUGGAAUUUCCGGUGUAGCGGUGAAAUGCGUAGAGAUCGGAAGGAACACCAGUGGCGAAGGCGGCUGUCUGGCCUAAUACUGACGCUGAGGCACGAAAGCGUGGGGAGCAAACAGG
rnacentral:rRNA from 1 species